UACGGAGGGGGCUAGCGUUGUUCGGAAUUACUGGGCGUAAAGCGCGUGUAGGCGGGAAGAUAAGUCGGGUGUGAAAUCCCUGGGCUCAACCUAGGAACUGCAUUCGAAACUGUCUUUCUGGAGUGAUGGAGAGGAAAGCGGAAUUCCCGGUGUAGAGGUGAAAUUCGUAGAUAUCGGGAGGAACACCAGUGGCGAAGGCGGCUUUCUGGCCAUCAACUGACGCUGAGACGCGAAAGCGUGGGGAGCAAACAGG
rnacentral:rRNA from 1 species